UACGUAGGGGGCAAGCGUUGUCCGGAUUUAUUGGGCGUAAAGAGCGUGUAGGCGGCCUGAAAGGUCAGCUGUGAAAACUCGAGGCUCAACCUCGAGACGUCGGUUGAAACCAUCUGGCUAGAGUCCGGAAGAGGAGAGUGGAAUUCCCGGUGUAGCGGUGAAAUGCGCAGAUAUCGGGAAGAACACCCGUGGCGAAGGCGGCUCUCUGGGACGGUACUGACGCAUGAGACGCG
rnacentral:rRNA from 1 species